rnacentral:rRNA from 1 species
UACGUAGGGUGCGAGCGUUAAUCGGAAUUACUGGGCGUAAAGCGCACGUAGGCGGGUUUGUAAGUAGGGGGUGAAAUCCCAGAGCUCAACUCUGGAACUGCCUUCUAAACUGCAAGCCUGGAGGUCAGGAGAGGCGAGUGGAAUACCGAGUGUAGAGGUGAAAUUCGUAGAUAUUCGGUGGAACACCAGUGGCGAAGGCGACUCGCUGGACUGAUACUGACGCUGAGGUGCGAAAGCGUGGGGAGCAAACAGG